AUUGUUCCCUUCUCUGUUUUUUUCUUACUUUCACUUCCCUUCGGCUUAUACUCUUUCAAAAUCUUUGCCAGCUCUUCUCUUCUCCUUCCUCACCCUUCCCCUAAAAACACUAGAUUUAGGGUUAAUGUUUGAGUUUUGAAUUUCCUAUUCAAACGUAAUCGACGAUGGUGUCUAAGUAUUCAAAUGUGUGAGCAUUAGAUGCUAAACUGAAGCGGUCAGAUCCCAAACAAAAUAAAAACAAAGAGAGAGAGAGAGAGAGAGAGAGAGAGAGGAAAAGAUGAAGUAAUGGCGAGCAAGGAAGAGAGCGCAGUGAAGGAAACUGCUCUUGCCAAUCUUAUUGUAAGGUUUUUUUUGUCAUAGCUUUAAAAAAUGACCCACUGUGUUUUCAAUUUUGUUUUCAGUUAGGUAUUUACGCUAAUAUGAUCAUAUACCAAGAUAAUUCCUUGCAAGCCGUAUGGUCAAACAAUAAAGGUGAUCGAAGACUUAUUAGGGUGGAUAUUGUUGAUUGAGGAUUUCAAUAUUUGACCUUCGUCCUGGAAUGGAUGCCAGUGAUGAGAAUUCAAUUGUAAAGUGGGUAAAGAUGGGUGCAUCACUUCACAAGUCUUCGAAAGGACAGGCAAUAGGGUUAAAACCUCCAUACCUUAUGCCCUUUUUUGGCAUGUUUUGAUAUGGAGGACCUAUUGCAUCUAUGCAUCUAUGAAGGCAUGCUCUCGUUUCUUCGAAGACAGAAUUCCAAGAAAGUAUAUACGUUACAUCUUGAGAGAGAAGCCUUACUCGGCAGUUCUAGCUCUGAACAUACCUGGACGAUAGUUAAGUUGCAUACCAGUUUCGUGAUUUGUCAGAGGGCCAUAUUUUUUAAUGUUUUUAUUUGAUUUCUCUUGCAUCUUUGCAAUAGAACCAUACAAUGGUUUUCAAUCUCUUGUACUAAUGGAAAACUUCAUUUCCAUUUUAGACUGAUGAUGGUAUCAAAAAUCCCUUAGAAGAUGAAAUUAGGGACACACCCCAUGGAGAACUACUCUGUUUCUAUUAUUUUAUACUUUUGGCAUGGUCAAAUGGAGAAAUUAUGUGUCAAUUAUAAGAA